UUCCCGGGCCUCUGCGAUGGCAGACCGGUGAACCCCGCCAGGUCCGAAAGGAAGCAACGGUAACUGACUCUGCCAGGCGCAGAACCGCCCGGAAAGCA
rnacentral:SRP_RNA from 1 species